rnacentral:rRNA from 1 species
GACGUAGGGCGCGAGCGUUGUCCGGAUUUAUUGGGCGUAAGAGCUCGUAGGCGGCUUGUCGCGUCGAAUGUGAAAACUCGGGGCUCAACUCCGAGCUUGCAUUCGAUACGGGCAGGCUAGAGUUCGGUAGGGGAGACUGGAAUUCCUGGUGUAGCGGUGAAAUGCGCAGAUAUCAGGAGGAACACCGGUGGCGAAGGCGGGUCUCUGGGCCGAUACUGACGCUGAGGAGCGAAAGCGUGGGGAGCGAACAGG